AGGGGCGGGCACGCACUGGAUUAAAAACCAGUAAUCCUGAGACCUCAGUCCCCUCCCUCGUCACUGCACGGACUCUGGGCUGUGAGAUAUCAGAGACCUCAAUGUCCAUAGGAUACUACUCUGAGCAAUUCCAUUGAAGAUGUCCACUCCAGAUCCUCCAAUGGGAGGAACGCCUCGCCCAGGGCCUUCUCCUGGACCCGGGCCAUCACCUGGUGCAAUGCUGGGCCCCAGUCCUGGACCUUCGCCUGGCUCUGCACAUAGUAU